AUUGAACGCUGGCGGCAGGCCUAACACAUGCAAGUCGAGCGAAGCGGUGGAUGGGUGAGUAACGCGUGGGUAACCUGCCUUUAAGUCUGGAAUACCAUUUGGAAACAUAUGCUAAUACCGGAUACUAAAGGAUUGACCUGCGAUGCAUUAGCUAGUUGGUAAGGUAACGGCUUACCAAGGCGCUGAUGCAUAUCCGAGCUGAGAGGCUGAUCGGCAACAUUGGGACUGAAACACGGCCAAAACUCUUACUGGAGGCAGCCGUAGGGAAUCUUCCACAAUGGACGAAACUCUGAUGGGGCAACGCCGCGUGAGUGAUGAAGGUGUUCGGAUCGUAAAGCCCUGUUGUUGGAUAACCGGUAAUCAACCAGAAAGCGACGGCUAACUACGGGCCAGCAGCCGCGGUAAUAC
rnacentral:rRNA from 1 species